rnacentral:lncRNA from 1 species
GGCUCACGCCUGUAAUCCCAGCACUUUGGGAGGCCAAGAUGGGUGGAUCACCUGAGCUCAGGAGUUCAGGACCAGCCUGACCAAUAUGGUGAAACCUGUCUCUACUAAAAAUACAAAAAACUAGCCAGGCGUGGUGGCGUGUGCCUGUAGUUCCAGCUACUAGGGAGGCUGAGACAGAAUUGCUUGAACCCAGGAGGCAGAGGUUGCAGUGAGCCGAGAUUGCGCCACUGCACUCCAGCCUGGGCGAUAGAGUGAGACUCCACCUUAAAACAAACAAAAACCUCUGUAAGCUGCAAUAUGCUUCACAUGUGGCACCCAUCCACAGUAACACCCACUACACAACCUAUAUCAUUAAUAAACAGGAAUUUUGUUUGAAGGCCUGAAAUGAGGUAAUGUUAACUUAGAUUACCAGGGGAGAUAGGUAAGGCCAAAAACAUACUUCAUCUACCUAAAAGUUUACCUGCGCUAUGUGCCUGGUAGUUUUCCCCCUUUUCUUUUUUUCUCAAAAGCUCUCUGCUCCCAAGAUCCAGGACUAAAGCUAUGGCUAUUAAUGCCAUGUUUAGGUAUAUAUUAUGGGCUAGUGUGGAAACCCAGCCCCCAGUUACAAUAUGGUUUCUACGGGAAAAUGUUUGGUUUUUUUUUUUUUGAUAGGGAAUCUUGCUGUCACCAGGCUGGAGUG